GAUGAACGCUGGCGGCGUGCUUAAUACAUGCAAGUCGAACGAUGAAGCCCAGCUCGUUGGGUGGAUUAGUGGCGAACGGGCGAGUAACACGCGAGUAACCUGCCCUUGUCUCUGGGAUAAGUCUGGGCAACUGGGUGUAGUACUGGCUAUGACUUCUCUUCGCAUGGAGGGGGGAGGAAUGAUUGAUUGGUCUUGGAUGGCCUCGCGGCCUAUCAGCUUGUUGGUGAGGUAAUGGCUCACCAAGGCGACGCCGGGUAGCCGGCCUGGGAGGGUGACCAGCCACAAGGGGACUGCGGGACGACGCAGACUGCAACCUGAGGCAGUGGGGGAGAACAUUGCGCAGUGGGCGCAAGCCUGUUACAGCGGCGUCGCGUGAGUAAUGACGUCCUUCGGGUUAUAAACCUCUGUCUAUGGGAAUGAAGCGGUAGUGACGGUACCUACAGAGGAAGCGCCGGCUAACUACGUG
rnacentral:rRNA from 1 species